GGAAGCCUUCCCUGAGAGAAGUAGUUUUUUCUCAAGGUCACGGAGCUGAUUCAGAGGAAAGCUGACUUCUACCUUCCCGUCUAGUGUCCAUUUCAUCCAUAUCCAAACGUGCAGGCUCCUACUGCUUUUAGAAGAUCUUGGCCAUUUUAAAGAGGCAGAUUUGGGAUCUGUGUGCAGUGAUUUGAGGAAGGUGGGGUUUUCUGUUUUGCUUUGUGGGGAGCUGGCACAGCAGAGGGGAAAUAAAGGCCUGCAGCCCGGCAAGUAGGGUCUUACUAGUAGCUCAGUGACCUUGAGCUGAUAAGCCACCAUCGAGUCUCAAAUACCCCAUCUGUAAAUAGGGGGUCAUGGUGGUUUUAAAAUACGUCCACAAAUUCUUUAGUACUCCUCCAAGGGGUGGAGCCUAAUUCCCCUCCCCCUGAGUAGGGGCCGUACUUAGUAACUGGCUUCUAAUGAACAGAAUGUGGAGGAAAUGAUGGUGGGUGAAUUCUGAGGCUAGGUCAUAAAAGGCAUCAUGGCUUCCACCUUGCUCUCUUUCUUGGAUCACUGGAUCUGGGGAAAGCCAGCUGCUAUAUUGUGAAGAUGCUCAAGUAGCCCAGUGGAGAGGCCCAUGUGGAGAAUUGGGGUUUCCUUUCAACAACCCAAACUAACUUGCCAGGAUUGUGAGAUAGACACCUUAGAAGUGGCUCUCCCAGUCCCAGUCAAGCCUUCGGAUGACUGCUGCCCCAGACCACAACUUGACUACAACUUCACGAGGGACCUUGAACCAGAACCUCCCAGCUAAGCCAUUCCUGAUUCCUGACCUUCAGAUACUGUAAUGACCACACCCAGCCUGGGCAAAUGCUGCCUACAAGGCUAGCUGCAUGAGAACAAGUCAGACGCCGAAUUCAUCAAUAUCGUUUAUCCAAUGACCACAGCCGAGGAUCCUUCUCCGUGCGGCAAGAACAGGGACCGGAAAUCUUUAAUCUUCAGGAGUUGCAAGAGGUGGCUGGGAGCUUGGUGUUGAGCGUGAGGCUGGCUCUGGCCCCUUUGGGUGGCCUGUGCCAUCCUGCUGAGCCCCCUCCCCAGCUAUAACCCUCUUGCGAUAUAAGCAUGGGUAUGGUAGGCACAAGAGAUAAGCCUCAGGAAUUAAACAGAAAAUUACCAUUCUCAUUAAAAAUAUCCCAGGGCCGCUCUCCCGAGCACUUUAAAGCUGUUUUAACUGCUGUUUGUCAUUCUGUCAUCAUUAUUCUUAAACAUGUAGGUAAAUAUUUUAUUAAACGUCUUCACUGCUUGGCAGUUAAGGAGCCCUUUGCUCCUGGACC
rnacentral:lncRNA from 1 species